rnacentral:lncRNA from 1 species
AACAAGCACCGCGACCGCCGAGCAGCGCCGAACCCAGCGCGCCCAGUCAGACCCCAGGGCCUGUGUACCGAGCAUGCGCAGUUCCCGCCCAAGCCAGGAGCAGCGUCAACCUGAGACUCCCGAGACAUUAAGAAUUCGGAAGGGAUGAGAUGGUAGAGGGGCUAGAGCUACCUCCAAGCUUUAUCCUGAGGCGGGGAGUGAAGGAGAGAUGCCCAAGGCCCAAGAGGGGCCGCGAGGGCCUUUGUCCGAUGCCACCCAGUCUGUCAGCACUCCUAGAGCUUUGGUUUUAUCUUGUAUUAGCAUGUGAAGCUUUAAGGGGGGGGCACCUACAGGCUUCUGACUGAAGUUGUGUAAACGCAACAAAAUGAAGCUUUGGAGCGUUAGGACAUUGAUGGGAGGGUGACGCCCCCCUCUAGCAGCGCGCCAGAGGGGCGAGUCAGAGGCGGCCACACACCACGGAAGUCGGGUCCAAGCCCGCUGACGUCGCCGGGGUCCCGCCCACCAACCCUCUGGACCCGCCCACAUUUCUUCUAGACCCGCCCCUUUCGGUGCCGAACUGAAGUCGAGCUCUUCCCACGCCCUGUCAGCCACGGGUGAGUUGAAAACCUGGAGAGCGGAAUCCCGAACGGCAGCCGGAAGGCCCUGGACUCCUCAUAGCAACAGCCAGCUAGGGGCAUCUAGUGGGAAGCUGGGAUUCAUUCUAGCCAACCACAUCACGUCUCUGUACCACAAGGUACCAUUCACGACCAAUAAGAGAGCGCCCCCAUACCACGUGCCUUUACUCCUUCAACCAAUCGAGAAAAACGCUAGUCGUAGGAUCCGCAAGCCCACCUCCCAGUGCCUUGCCAGGCGGGGCUCUUCGCGCACGCUCUGCCAACCAAUCGUAGGUGAGCUGGCGAGUGACGGAAGCUUCGGCCAAGCCAACCAGAGCUCGCGAGCCCCUUGCCACCGAGGCCGGCGGGAUGGAGACAGGGACCGGCUGCUGGGGUUUGGGAGGGGCAGAGAUUGAGGAGCCAGUUGCUGUGCCCUGUUCUGGCAAAAGAACAAGAUGCGUUGCAAGCCAGAAUGAUGAAUUCCACUUUUCACGUCGCCUCCGUGGCAUUCUGCCUAAAUGAUGGGCAUGGAAAUGGUGCUGAGGGAUGUGGGCUGAAUCGAGAACACAGGGACUUUUGUCUUCAGGGUGAGAAAUGUUCCGGUCCUUAAGGAAACAUCGUGCAGCAGUUGCAUGGGUCUUCCAGGCGUUCCUCCCAAAACAUUAUUUUUUUUCUUUCACUAUUGAGUUUUAAAACUUAGCGUUCUGUCGCUAGCAUUGCAUCUUAGUUACACAUCCUCUCCCACCCAUAACGUCAAAUUUAGGAGACGAUACAUCCCCAAGCUUUCCUGCAUUAUUUUUUGCAGUAACUGGUUAUUCAGUUUACUUUCUUUAAACUAUGUCCUUCUCAAACUAGUCUCACCUGUUCGUUACUGUCGCACAUUUCCUGCGAAUAACACGUUUCUGUAGUUCUGUUGUUAGAGCCUGGCAUACCUCUCCCCGUUCCUCUUUCCCACAAGGUCAUCAUGCAGAGGGGAUUUUGGUCUGAGUUAAAAGCCAGGUAUUCUUUCACCAUCUUUUCUGUCGAUAGUCAAACUACUACAAAGACUACUCAAAUUUAGUAGUUUCUUAUUUCCCUAUAGCUUCGUUAUAUUAGAAUGGAUAACUUAUAUUUGCAUUACCUUGCUGUAAUGAACACACACCAAGUUUUCAUUUAAAAUUAUCAAGGACAAAUGUCCUCUGAAUUUAAAAAUGUGUAUGUAGUAAAAUAUAACUCAGCAUUUCUUGAUUACAUAUCAUUAAAAUAUGAAUGGUACUAUCUGAGCCACCAGAAUCAGCAGUGAAGGUAUUAUAUUAAUAAAAAGGACUAAGAAUCAGGACUGUUUUAAGGGAACUGGAACCGAAGAGGAUCUACUAUUUCAUCCUAGGCUAGUUAACAUGAAAUAGUGAAUUAAAAUUGAAAGAGCUUACAUGGAUGCUUCAUAUCUGAGCUACUUUGGCAGGGAUGUUUCAAGAGGAUGUAGAGAUGGUAAAACUGAGACACAGAGAGGUUAAAGGUCUGGCCAAAGGCUCACAGUUAGUAACUAGUGGGAGACAAGAUUGGUGCCUAGGCAAUCUGACCUCAAAGCCACUUCUCUUCCCAUAUUUGAAGACAUUAAACUGGGACAUUGGCGUGAGUGACUGAUAUAGACAGAUUCUGUCACAUCCCUGGCUGCUGUUAUCACUGGUAUGUCAUCUGGUUCAUAAAAACCUCAUUUACAGCUCCCCAGUCUUUCUUUCCCUGUAUGUUGUUGGAUGCUCACAAUAACUUUGGAAGUCACAAGUUGAACAGGAUGGCAUCUCCAUCAGUGGGCCCACAAGUGACUUGGUGGAGUAGAGCCCCAUCUCUCACCUAUUUCCCAUUAAAUUAGCUUUACCUGCUAAGAAACAAAUUCUUUUGUUAAGCCACUGAGAUGUAUCUAUUACAACAAAUAAGAUUAUCUUAAUUAAUGCAUAUUAAUUUUAAUCUUGGAAAUCUGAUAAACAUUUAUUAAUCUUAAUAUUUACCUGUUGAUUCUUUAUUUUCUGCAUGCAAAUGAUAUUACCUGGUAAUAAUGAGCUUUGCUUAUAUUCUUUUCUAUAUUUUACACAUUUUAUUUCUUUUUCUUAUACUACAGUACUAGCUGAUGUCUCCUGUGCAAUGUUGAAUAAAACCAGCUAUGGUGUACCAUUUGCCUUGGUCUUGAUAAGGAAGGGAGUUAUUUAACAUUUUACCAUUAGCUGCUGUUCUUGGUGUAGGUAUUUUGUAUAUAUUCUUUACAAUAAUAUGAAAGUUCUCU